rnacentral:rRNA from 1 species
CAANGUAUGCUUUGGAAACUGUUAGACUUGAGUGCAGAAGGGGAGAGUGGAAUUCCAUGUGUAGCGGUGAAAUGCGUAGAUAUAUGGAGGAACACCGGUGGCGAAAGCGGCUCUCUGGUCUGUCACUGACGCUGAGGCUCGAAAGCGUGGGUAGCGAACAGGAUUAGAUACCCUGGUAGUNCACGCCGUAAACGCUGAGUGCUAGGUGUUAGGUCCUUUCCGGGACUUAGUGCCGACGCUAACGCAUUAAGCACUCCGCCUGGGGAGUACGACCGCAAGGUUGAAACUCAAAGGAAUUGACGGGGGCCCGCACAAGCGGUGGAGCAUGUGGUUUAAUUCGAAGCAACGCGAAGAACCUUACCAGGUCUUGACAUCCCGAUGCCCGCUCUAGAGAUAGAGUUUUUCUUCGGAACAUCGGAGACAGGUGGUGCAUGGUUGUCGUCAGCUCGUGUCGUGAGAUGUUGGGUUAAGUCCCGCAACGAGCGCAACCCUUAUUGUUAGUUGCCAUCAUUAAGUUGGGCACUCUAGCGAGACUGCCGGUAAUAAACCGGAGGAAGGUGGGGAUGACGUCAAAUCAUCAUGCCCCUUAUGACCUGGGCUACACACGUGCUACAAUGGUUGGUACAACGAGUCGCAAGCCGGUGACGGCAAGCUAAUCUCUGAAAGCCAAUCUCAGUUCGGAUUGUAGGCUGCAACUCGCCUACAUGAAGUCGGAAUCGCUAGUAAUCGCGGAUCAGCACGCCGCGGUGAAUACGUUCCCGGGCCUUGUACACACCGCCCGUCACACCACGAGAGUUUGUAACACCCAAAGUCGGUGAGGUAACCAUUUAUGGGGCCGGCCGCCUAAGGUGGGANGG